rnacentral:rRNA from 1 species
UGAAUACGAGAUGCUACGGCGUCGAAGCAGUCUAUGUCAUACUUCCAAGAAAAGCUUGCACUGUCAUAAACAAAUAAUGCCUGUACCAUAACCGACACAGGUGGGUAGGUAGAGUAUACUAAGGGGCGCGAGAUAACUCUCUCUAAGGAACUCGGCAAAAUGACUCCGUAACUUCGGGAGAAGGAGUGCCUUAUUUAUAAGGUUGCAAUAACAAGAUCCAAGCAACUGUUACCAAAAACACAGGUCUCCGCUAAGUCGUAAGACGAUGUAUGGGGGCUGACGCCUGCCCAGUGCCAGAAGGUUAAAGAAGUUGGUUAGCAUCCGCGAAGCUGAUAACUGAAGCCCUGGUGAACGGCGGCCGUAACAAUAACGGUCCUAAGGUAGCGAAAUUCCUUGUCGGGUAAGUUCCGACCCGCACGAAAGGCGUAAUGAUUUGGAUACUGUCUCGGAGAGGGGCUCGGUGAAAUAGACUUGUCUGUGAAGAUGCGGACUACCUGCACCAGGACAGAAAGACCCUAUGAAGCUUUACUGUAACCUGAAAUUGAAAUUGGACUUUACUUGCGCAGUAUAGGUGGGAGGCGUUGAGAAUAUUCUUGCGGGAUUAUUGGAGCCAUCAGUGAGAUACCACUCUUGUAAUGUUAGAUUUCUAACUUUGUAUCAUUAUCUGGUCAAAGAACAGUUUCAGGCGGGCAGUUUGACUGGGGCGGUCGCCUCCUAAACGGUAACGGAGGCGCACAAAGGUUUCCUCUGAACGGGUAGAAAUCGUAUCUAGAGUGUAAAGGCAUAAGGAAGCUUGACUGUGAGACCUACAAGUCGAGCAGGGACGAAAGUCGGUCUUAGUGAUCUGACGGUGCUGAGUGGAAAGGCCGUCACUCAACGGAUAAAAGUUACUCUAAGGAUAACAGGCUGAUCUCCCCCAAGAGUUCACAUCGACGGGGAGGUUUGGCACCUCGAUGUCGGCUCAUCGCAUCCUGGGGCGGUAGUACGUCCCAAGGGUUGGGCUGUUCGCCCAUGAAAGCGGUACGCGAGCUGGGUUCAGAACGUCGUGAGACAGUUCGGUCCAUAUCCGGUGUAGGCGUUAGAAUAUUGAGAGGAGCCUUCUUUAGUACGAGAGGACCGAGAAGGACAUACCUCUGGUGUACCAGUUAUCGUGCCAACGGUAAACGCUGGGUAGCUAUGUGUGGAGUGGAUAACCGCUGAAAGCAUCUAAGUGGGAAGCCCACCUCAAGAUAAGUAUUCUCA